GCUUCGGUGGCAUAGUGGUCAGAUCGUCCACCUCAGAUGCGGUAGGUCGCGGAUUUGAACCACGGCCGAGGCA